UGAAUAGAGUUAUAAUAAAAUUUAGCAUAAACUUGCGGAAUUUGAAAUUUGCAGGAAAUAAAUAAGUGCGUUAAGUAAACAAAAAGGAAAGAACGCACCGAUUUAUUCUGGUUCACCACAACAAGUGGCUAGUCCAGUCCCCGAGAGACUCUCUCGAGAUUUUCCACUAACUUGUCAAGCUUACGGGUGCUCAACAAAC
rnacentral:lncRNA from 1 species